CCUACAGGUAGGGUAGUCUAUUAGCCAUGUUUUCUUUUGUUUAGGGUAUCCUGUUAACCAUGCUUUCUUUCAGAUCCCUGUAUAGGUAUCAUUUUUUCCAGGCCUUGCUGUACGGCUUUUCGGUUUUUCUUGCUCAAACAUUGGAACCAAUCUGUAUUUGGUUAAUUUUAAUUAAUAUUAUCCCACUUUCCAUUUUAAAAAAAAAGUAGCAAACAAAUUAUCGCUGGAAUCGUCUAUCUUUUUCUUAGUUUUUUUGUACACACUUUUUUUUUGACAUCUAAAGAAUUUUGUUUGCAUUAGUUAGCUUACAUGUUAAUUAAUAAAGAGAAAUGAUAGGGGAAUUUUCUUUAACAUGAAAUUUUUCAGAAAAGCAACUAUGAUAAACUAUUCUCUAUGUAGUCACUACCCUUUGUUAGGAUGACAUUAUUCCUUCAGCCUUACCUCCUCCCUCCUCCCCUUACCCUGUUAACAAUUUCCUUGUUUUCUUUUUCCAAAUUAACCAUUAAGUGCUAGGGUGAGUUUAGCUCACUACUCUCUAAUAAAAACUCAAAUAACUGCCUGCAUACUCUCUCUCUGCUCUCUUUGAUUAUAUAUGACUCUGCUGCUGUUAGUGAAUUAAUGGUAUUGUUAUUUGUGAUAGACACGAACACACACAAAAAUUGGAUAUCAUGAUAUUUGACUCCUACUCUGUCUUUCCCCUCCUAUGAUGGAAGUAUAUACUGUCAUUAAACCAUUGCAAGAAAUACCUAGAGAGGAUAGAGGAGAAAAAUGUCUCAUGAAUCCAUUCAAGUAGCUUGAGAAUAAAUGCACAUCACUAUUAUGGAACAAUCAAUGUCUCAUAAAUCCAUUCAAGUAGCUUGAGAAUAAAUGCACAUCACUAUUAUGGAACAAUCAUACACUUGUUUGUUAGGAUGUCAAAUUUAGCAAUAGCUUGAUAAUAACUGUAAAUCAUUAUUAUGGAAGUUUUUAGUUUGACUUUUUUUUUUUUUUUUUUUUUUUUUUACAUGGAAAAUUAUCAUAUGCAUCGUUCUUUCUUUAACCAAGGUGUUUGUUUUACUUCUCUUUUUUUCAUUAUCUUUUAGAAAGUAUAUCUUGUAGAAAUGUGUUAUUUAAAUGUUGUUACAGCGAUGAAGGCAUUCUGGCUUAAACAGAUGAAGUCUUUGAUAGUACACAUGAAGACAAUACAAUCUUUUCAUUUGAGAUAGGACAGGGCACUGUGAUUAAGGCAUUGUCAUAACUAUGAAGGUUGGUGAAAUAACUAAGAUUACUUGUAAGCCCGAGUAUGCAUAUGGAAGUGCAGGUUCACCUCAAGAUAUUCCUCCUGGUGCAACCUUAAUAUUUAAGAUGGAGGCCUGGAGUUGGUAGCCUGCCGACCACACAAACGUAUGAGUGUUGGUGGUGCUGCAGAUGAGAGGGCAAAGGAAAAUAGGGAGAAUAUAUGGAAAAACUUGAGGAAUAUAUAAACCCCGACAAAGUCUAUUUGGAGGUUGCAGGUGGGCAAAAGAAAGGAAAAAUUUACGGUUUAGGGAGUGCUUCACAAAUGUACUACAAGAGCGAUCCUACUUCUCAACUUACUGCUGCAUCAUCUUCAACUUCUUCCAUGAUUUCUCAACUAAGCUCUCAAGUUGAAGAAUUAAAGAAGAUGGCAGAAGAAAACCUUAACAAGGUAGAAGAAAGCCAAAAAAAAAUAGCGGCAAAGAGCUUAAAAUAUGCUAAUUAAUUUUUUGAAUCACGAGAUCGAAAAAGCAACAUGGAAGAAGGAAAAAUUAGCUAUGCAAAAAAAAAAUGCAGGAAACGACAUCACUUGUCCAACAACGCUACCGUCCUUUUAAGCCUCCUACGCCUACAAUCACCCGCUCUCGUGAUUCAACUAAGUGAUUUUUAUUUUCUUGGUGGUAAUUUUGUGAACAACUGGUCUUUUAUAUCGUCAUUAGUUCUUAUUUGAAGUAGCUUUCUUUAUAUGAGAGGUGAUUUUUGAAACAAUUAGUUUUAUGAGUUAAAUAUUAUUUUUUAAUACAUUGAUACAAAAUUGAUUAUAUU